UGGAAAGUUUCUUUCAAAAAUCAAGUUCAAAAGGAUGAUUUUCACAACAUUAAAAAUUUUCCUUUGUUUGCUGUCCUUGAAAAAUUUUGGGUUUUUCAAUAUUGCUUGGUGUUUGGUGCAUAUGGCAUUACAAUCGGAAUUCUUACUACCAGCACGCUUGCGGUUUGUGUGAUUUACGGGGUUCUGAAACAACGUAUAGUCAUUUUCUCAUUUAACAUUGUAAAACUGAUCUUAUUGCCGUAGUUGACAUAGAUGGAGGAGGUCGUAAUAAUCUACUAUCUGUGAAGGAGGACUUUAGCAAAGGGUGGUUGCUGUUCUUUGGAUCUGGUAGAGCAAUCUAAUGUGCUUGCUGUUCCCAGCUGCUGGCCUUGAAAUUUUGUCAUGGUUUGAUAUUCAGAGAAUAUGGAAUGUUGAGGACAUAUUUUCAGUGACAUGAAGAGUGUGAAGUGAAUAACCUGCAAUGUGUAUGAAAAUGUACCAGAUCUGUACAUGAAAAUAUCUGCAACCACGAAUGUUAUGAAUUUCGUUUUGGGGUCAAUUGGAGUUGGUGCAGGUUGCCGUUAUACUGGCCUUUUGCAACGUCUUGAUAUCAGUUUGGAAGAAUAGCUCUGGGGAAUCGUCACUCAUACUCGAGUCAACCUGCAGACAGGUCGACCAGUUUGUCCAGACAGGAUGUCCUUCUCGCUUGAAGGUCACGAGAAACAUUACGUAAAACUGGCAUGCGAUGGUGUAGAGGUUGGGUGAGAAUGACACGUGUUUCAUCAUUAUCAAGCAGACCCAUCCCCAGCAACUUCAUCCUGCAGAA